rnacentral:rRNA from 1 species
CGCUGGCGGCGUGCCUAAUACAUGCAAGUCGAGCGCGGGAAGCGGACUCGUCACCCUUCGGGGUGUCUAGUCCGUGGAACGAGCGGCGGAUGGGUGAGUAUCACGUGGGCAACCUGCCUGUAAGAUUGGGAUAACUCGCGGAAACGUAAGCUAAUACCGAAUGAAGUCUUUCACCGCCUGGUGAAAGGAUGAAAGAUGGCUUUUUAGCUAUCACUUACAGAUGGGCCCGCGGCGCAUUAGCUAGUUGGUGGGGUAAAGGCCUACCAAGGCGACGAUGCGUAGCCGACCUGAGAGGGUGAUCGGCCACACUGGGACUGAGACACGGCCCAGACUCCUACGGGAGGCAGCAGUAGGGAAUCUUCCGCAAUGGACGAAAGUCUGACGGAGCAACGCCGCGUGAGUUGAUGAAGGUCUUCGGAUCGUAAAAACUCUGUUGUCAGGGAAGAACAAGUUGUGUUCUAACAGGACAUGACCUUGACGGUACCUGACCAGAAAGCCCCGGCUAACUACGUGCCAGCAGCGGC